UACGGAGGGGGCUAGCGUUGUUCGGAAUUACUGGGCGUAAAGCGCGCGUAGGCGGACCUGCAAGUCGGGGGGUGAAAGCCCGAGGCUCAACCUCGGAACUGCCUUCGAUACUGCGGGUCUCGAGUCCGGGAGAGGUGAGUGGAAUUCCUAGUGUAGAGGUGAAAUUCGUAGAUAUUAGGAAGAACACCAGUGGCGAAGGCGGCUCACUGGCCCGGUACUGACGCUGAUGAGCGAAAGCUAGGGGAGCAAACGGG
rnacentral:rRNA from 1 species